GCUGGUGAGAGGAGGGACAUGCAGCUUCUACUGCCUGUGGCUUCCACUCUGCUGAGUUAUCUGUGGCUUCCACUCUGCCGGGUUAUCUGUGGUCAGUGUCUCCCUACCUGGCAGGCCAAAGCGAGGCCUAUGCUCUUUUGACCCCCUUGGUCAGUACGUGCCCAGGAACCAUGUUCAAUAUCAUCUUGGAUCAAGUGCACUCAGGAUGAUAAACGUGCUGUGAAACCAACUCCACAGCCUGAAUGUCCACAGUCAGACUGGAAAACCUUGGUGAUAGCCCUGGUGUGAGCCUGCCCUUGCUGCUGGGCCCUUCAUGAGCGUGGAGGCCAUGGCAGAGUACAGGGAGGCCAUGACCCCACAUCACUUUCCUUUGAUCUUUUUGCAGGGGGGAGUCUCACCUUCUUCCUCGGCUUCCCGGGUGCAACCUGGCCUGCUGCAGUGGGUGAAGUUUUGGUAGGUGAGUGUCAGAGUGAGCCGACCCAGGCCACAUCCUGGCAGUGGAGGCACAGUCACCCGGGGCAGGGCCAGGAUCUUGGUAUAUCCUCAGAUCUCAGUGGGCAGCGACAUGAAGUCAGGCGGAGCAAAAGUGAGGGGCACCACAGGCGAACAGGCAAUUUCUUGCAACCACCACCGAGGCCCCGAAAAGCACUGGUCGUCAGGGAGCUCCUCCCCUUGGCCCCCAGCCUGUGCCAGCCCUGGCCCGGCUGCCACACCUCUGUUUCCUAGGCUGGGGACCCAGCUUGUCUCUCCUUGUUUCUUCCCACUGCACUGUGGUGCUUCAGUGGCCACCAGCCUCGUCACAUACACCAGC
rnacentral:lncRNA from 1 species